rnacentral:rRNA from 1 species
UGCCAGCAGCCGCGGUAAUACGGAGUGUGCAAGCGUUACUCGGAAUCACUGGGCAUAAAGAGCACGUAGGCGGGUAGGAAAGUCGGCCGUGAAAGCCCUUGGCUCAACCGAGGAACUGCGACCGAAACUGUUUGCCUUGAGGACAAGAGGGGAGAGCGGAACUUCUGGUGGAGCGGUGAAAUGCGUAGAUAUCAGAAGGAACACCGGUGGUGAAAACGGCUCUCUGGCUUGUUUCUGACGCUGAGGUGCGAAAGCUAGGGUAGCGAACGGGAUUAGAUA